GGAGAGGUUCCCGAGUGGCCAAAGGGGGCAGACUGUAAAUCUGUUAUCUAUGAUUUCGAUGGUUCAAAUCCAUCUCUCUCCACCA
rnacentral:tRNA from 2 species